rnacentral:rRNA from 1 species
UACGGGGGGGGCAAGCGUUGUUCGGAAUUACUGGGCGUAAAGGGCUCGUAGGCGGCCAACUAAGUCAGACGUGAAAUCCCUCGGCUUAACCGGGGAGCUGCGUCUGAUACUGGAUGGCUUGAGUUCGGGAGAGGGAUGCGGAAUUCCAGGUGUAGCGGUGAAAUGCGUAGAUAUCUGGAGGAACACCGGUGGCGAAGGCGGCAUCCUGGACCGAUACUGACGCUGAGGAGCGAAAACCAGGGGAGCAAACGGG